GAAAAUAUGAGGGAGGAAGACUUUCUAAACAAAAUCUAAAUUAAGAAAAGAGACAGGCAGGUAAGAAGUGCUUUAGAACAAGGGUUCCCAAACUGUGGGCCACGGCCCAUAGUCCCAGGUGGUCCACUGACGCAACUGCAUUCUCCAGUCAAGCUCUUAGUAAAUCUUUAACUCCAUGUGACUCGUGUGAUGUCAGUAAAAGCUAUAUAAAUAUAAUGUCCUGAGCUGCAUAUGUUGGACAAAGCAUAGAAGAAACUUGUAUUUUGUUUAUUUGUUUGUUUGUUUAUUUUAUUUUAUUAAAAAGCAAGUGCAAUGUGUCAAGAUUAAUUCUCGCAAGUACAACGGUGCGUUUCACUGCAAGGUAACCUAGCAACGUACACACAGUCAGCCAUUUACAACUGUAAAAAACAGCAAGCAGUAUUUCAAUCUGACAUGGAUGGAUUUAUUUUUCGAAAACGAAAAGGGUGCACUGGUGGAGAAGAUAAUGAAAGUCCUGGACCAUCUACAGCUACACGAAAUGAGGAUUCAAAAAAAUAAAGUGGUUUUGCUGUCACGUCAAAAGUUGCAGCUGUAAUGCCACAGGAGAAAGUGAUCUUCCUUAUCCAAAACAAUCAAAGGGUCUGUUUAUGUCUGCCUCUAGGCAGCAGGCGCAGCUUGUACUGUGGGUAAGCAGAACAAGUGAGCAAUCUUUCUGCUUUGGAGAACUUAGCCUCUCUGUUCCGAGGGAGAGUUUUUUGGCACUCCCCGCAGAUCGAAGCUCCCUGCUGAUCGAUUAUUUGAUAAUUGAUUUUCCCCUCCACCAAUGCACGGCUGGCUUUCGAAGAAAAGCUCCUGAUUGGACUGCGGCUCCUCCACUGCUGCCUACUGAGAUUUGGGUGAGCUCAUUUUCCAACAUACCGCAGGGGGAGUUUUCUCAGGGAC